AAAAUGUACUUUUAACACCGUUCAACUACGGUUUUUUUGAUGAGACGAGCGGUAAUCCUUACCUACAGCACGGUGUUCACCAGGCUCAGCCGCAAAGAACUCGGCCAGAGAGCAAACUUACACUGAAAAACCGCCCGUCCCGAAGCAAAACCCGCCAGGACUUUGCCUCGCAAAAUACGUCUACCCCUAAACAAGAAACAGAUAAAGUCAUUGAUCUGCGUACACCACCGCCGGUUCGCCAACCUCUCUUCCUCCACUCAGCGGUAGCGGGCAUUCAACCUCGCCAGCUGUUUGUAGCACAAACACCUACCUUGCAAAACAACCAAGUCCAAACGGAUGUACCACAAGCAACGAUUCCACCAGCAAACCAUACCCAUCUCACACUGAGCGUUGAAACUUCAGUUCAGACGGUUCAAGACCAGCGGGAGACUACAUCAUACGAAGCAGCCCUCCUGAGGGAAAACGGUGCUGAAGGUGCAGAGAUACAACCCCCUAACGCACCUCAAACUGAUCUGCCAGCAACCUCUUCAGACGCCCCUGAUACGAUCCGGAGAAGACGAUCCUUAAGAAAGAGGAAAAGACCCAGUCUCAUUACACUAAGUUCUACCCUCAAGAUAGUCCAGAGAGUGAUUCCGAAGCUCGAGACAAAAGUGAUUACGAUUCGAAGGCUUGCAACGGGUAAAUAAUUUCUUUCGCCUACAAUAAAUAAUGAAAUCAAUAAAUCCCUAUGUC